AAGAAUAUAUGUACUUUAUGGGGUCGGAGAUGCUGCCUUCUGUCUGUUACAUACAUAUGCAUUUUGCACAACUACAAUACACCCUUAUAUCCAUUUUUAAUGGGUUCGGGGUAUAAAAAUAAUAUGUACAUACAUAUUUAUGCACUGAUUAGGACUAAGCCUCAAACGUAUCAAUCUGUGUGCUUCAAGUUAACAAACUGCACGUGUUGGAGCGGGCACUCAACGCUGUUGUAACAGACAAAGAAUACGACGUGCAAACAUCCAAAUUCGGAGUCAUGCGUAUCUACACUGCUAAUGCUCAAGCGUUUCGAUCAGUUGUUAGAGCGCUAAUCCAACUAGACUGUGAGUUUUAGCAGCACCAACUGCGGGAUGACAAACCUUAUAGACUGGUUGCACAGUAACAUAUAUUGCCCAAGAAAAAUGGACUUGCGCACAUCCGAUCAACGAGGAGGACGAUGAGCAAAUAAAUAACGCGAAGACUAGACAAAAUAUGUUCUACGUUAAUAUCGAACACACAUCAAAUGUAGCCGAAACAGUUAAAAUAACCCA